rnacentral:sRNA from 1 species
CACAAAUGAACGCAGCUUAAGAACACCAUUUCCAGGGGUAAUAGCUGCAUGACCUACAUCUUAUAGG